AGACCGAUAGCGAACAAGUAGAGUGAUCGAAAGAUGAAAAGCACUUUGAAAAGAGAGUUAAACAGCACGUGAAAUUGUUGAAAGGGAAGCGUUUGCGACCAGACUCGCCCGCGGGGUUCAGCCGGCAUUCGUGCCGGUGUACUUCCCCGUGGGCGGGCCAGCGUCGGUUUGGGCGGCCGGUCAAAGGCCCUCGGAAGGUAUCACCUCUCGGGGUGUCUUAUAGCCGAGGGUGCAAUGCGGCCUGCCUGGACCGAGGAACGCGCUUCGGCUCGGACGCUGGCGUAAUGGUCGUAAAUGACCCGUCUUGAAACACGGACCAAG
rnacentral:rRNA from 1 species